rnacentral:rRNA from 1 species
UCUCCUGGAAACGGGUGGUAAUGCCGGAUGCUCCAGUUGAUCGCAUGGUCUUCUGGGAAAGCCUUUGCGGCAUGGGAUGGGGUCGCGUCCUAUCAGCUUGAUGGCGGGGUAACGGCCCACCAUGGCUUCGACGGGUAGCCGGCCUGAGAGGGCGACCGGCCACAUUGGGACUGAGAUACGGCCCAGACUCCUACGGGAGGCAGCAGUGGGGAAUAUUGCACAAUGGGCGCAAGCCUGAUGCAGCGACGCCGCGUGAGGGAUGGAGGCCUUCGGGUUGUAAACCUCUUUUGUUAGGGAGCAAGGCAUUUUGUGUUGAGUGUACCUUUCGAAUAAGCACCGGCUAACUACGUGCCAGCAGCCGCGGUAAUACGUAGGGUGCAAGCGUUAUCCGGAAUUAUUGGGCGUAAAGGGCUCGUAGGCGGUUCGUCGCGUCCGGUGUGAAAGUCCAUCGCUUAACGGUGGAUCCGCGCCGGGUACGGGCGGGCUUGAGUGCGGUAGGGGAGACUGGAAUUCCCGGUGUAACGGUGGAAUGUGUAGAUAUCGGAAAAGAACACCA